UAAAUGAACUUAAAUUCAACUUAAAAUAUUUUUUAAACAAAUAAAGUAAAAAAUAAUAUUUUAAAGUUAAUUAAUAGAGGUUCAGCUCUAUUAAUAAAGGAUACAACCUAAAAUAAUGAAUAAUGACUAUAUUAAUUAAAGAAAUUAAUUUUGUGGGCUUAAAAGCAGCAAUCAAAAUAAAAGCGUCAAAGCUUAAUUUAACAAAUCUUAUUAUAACAAUAAAAUAAUCUUAAUUCAUUAAAACUAUUAAGUCAAUCUAUUUAAAUAGAUGUGAUUAUACUAGAAUAAGUAAUAAGAAAAUAUUCUCUUAGUGUAAGUGUAUAUCAGAACGAAUACUUCACUGAUAAUUAACGAACCUUUUGAGGGAAAAAUAAUAUUUUACAAGAAAAGAUUAUUUAACCAAUCGUUAACCCAACACAGGAGCACACUAGAAAGAUUAAAAAUAUAGGAAGGAACUCGGCAAACACGAACUUCGCCUGUUUACCAAAAACAUCGCCUCUUGCAGCUAAAAUAUAAGAGGUCCUGCCUGCCCAGUGACACUAAGUUUAACGGCCGCGGUAUCAUGACCGUGCAAAGGUAGCGUAAUCACUUGUCUUUUAAAUAAAGACCAGUAUGAAUGGCAAGACGAAAGUUCAACUGUCUCCUUAAAUUAAUCAAUGAAAUUGAUUUUUCCGUGCAGAAGCGGAAAUAUAACUAUAAGACGAGAAGACCCUAUGGAGCUUUAAAUAUAUAAUCAAUUGCAUAACAUAAAAUCCAAAAGAUAAAAUAUAAAAUAAAACAAUAUGAUUAAAAUUUUAGGUUGGGGCGACCACGGAGAAAAACAAAACCUCCGAGAUGAAGAGAAUAUCUUAAUUCAAGAACUACAGUUCUAAAAAAUAAAAUAUUUAACAUAAUUGAUCCAAUAUGUUGAUCAACGAACCAAGUUACCCUAGGGAUAACAGCGCAAUCCUCUCUAAGAGUCCCUAUCGACGAGCGGGUUUACGACCUCGAUGUUGGAUCAGGACACCCCAAUGGUGCAGCCGCUAUUAAAGGUUCGUUUGUUCAACGAUUAAAGU
rnacentral:rRNA from 1 species